AGUGAUGUAUGGAAGUGAGAGCUGGACCAUAAAGAAGGCUGAUCGCCGAAGAAUUGAUGCUUUUGAAUUAUGGUGCUGGAGGAGACUCUUGAGAGUCCCAUGGACUGCAAGAAGAUCAAACCUCUCCAUUCUUAAGGAAAUCAGCCCUGAGUGCUCACUGGAAGGACAGAUCGCGAAGCUGAGGCUCCAAUACUUUGGCCACCUCAUGAGAAGAGAAGACUCCCUGGAAAAGACCCUGAUGUUGGGAAAGAUGGAGGGCACAAGGAGAAGGGGACGACAGAGGAUGAGAUGGUUGGACAGUGUUCUCGAAGCUACAAACAUGAAUCUGACCAAACUGCGGGAGGCAGUGGAAGACAGGAGUGCCUGGCAUGCUCUGGUCCAUGGGGUCACGAAGAGUCGGACACGACUAAACGACUAAACAACAGCAACAACAGUCACACAUUCAGUAGCCAGUUAUGGAGAUUUGGUAUAGUGGAGGACUUUCACCUUUGAAAUGAACUUAUUAGUGUUGUCAAAAUAUCUCAGUACAGCUGGAACUUUGCACAUGCCCAGAUAUACUCAAAAUAUGUAUAUUUUUGCUUUGCUCUGAAAGCUGAGUGUAAGAAAUCAGAGGGAGCUGUGGUAGUUCAAGCUAUGUUCUUUUAGCACAGAAAGUCACAGUGAUUCCUACAAAUAUUCUGUCCAUUGUGAUUGCAAUACUGGGAAUUAUCCCACUGUAACAGCAAUAAGAUGACUGCAUUUGUAAUUACUCCUGGGCACAAUGAACUUAUAAAAUGCAAGUAUCCAUCUCCAAUAUUCAGAUAUUAACACCAGGAAAAGUUCCAGUAGGCAGCUGCUAGCAUUUUCUCCCAAUAAUUGGAUUAAGUAUAAAUUUUCAUUUCCUGAGACAUGUUUCUACCUUUCCCCACAAGGGACACCUCAGUCAAAUGCCUGUGAGUUCUGAUUGGCCAGAGUCCCCCUUUUGACCUCCCUGCCGCAUUUCAGGGGGGAAUUAUAUUGUGAUCUAAUGACAGUUCAGUACCUGAGUCCUUUUUCAUUUAACAAGUUAGAGCAGGGUGUGGAGAAGGGGGAAAGUCCUGUUGUGAAAGCGUGAAUAAUCAUUUUGCUGUUGGGACUGUAGCUAGGGAUGCACUGGAUACAUGCCUUAAUAUUGAUUUUUGCCAAAGCGUGUUCUCCCUCGUGGAGAGCACAUGUUGCGGUGGGGGCUGACGAGACACCUCACUGUUGCUAGGCAAAAGAGUUUGGCCAUCUUUUAAGCAGGAGUGGGCUGUUACUGGGGAAAUUUAUAUGUUGCCAUUUAUUGAUUGACAGCCCUAUUUGUUAAAUACACUGCAUGCAGUGACAAACUUCCUCUUUUCGCUGCGUGCUUCGGAUCACCCGCCCUCCCUCCCUAAUGUUAGGCUGCUUGCUUGACCUUGCUAUGCCUGUCAAGCGUCUGCUUGGGGGCAGGGGCCUGGUAGGAAUUUUGUCCAUUUGGCUGAUUGGCUGGUGCCACUUGGUUUUUGCCUACUGCGUGGCAAAUCAUCACAACUUGUAAGGUUGCGGUUAGGCAUUGGUUUGGGAAUUGGUUGGUGGAGGGGUAUGGAUUUGGAUGUGCUUGCCCCUCCAAAAUGCGGCUGCUGCUGCAAGGGUUUUCCAUUAAAGGAACCCAGGGGCUCACCAUGCUUUUGUCCGAACUCACUGGCAAGAGGCUAGGGCCACACAAGAGCCCCUGGGAGCAUUCUGGGGAGAGGUGAGGCAUGGUUCCCAGUCCCGUCUCUCUCCCCAGGUGACUUACCCUUUCUGACUUCGCAGGGGGUGCGAAUGUCAGAGCUGUCCCUGUGUGGGGUCAGUUAGUCGCUACCAAUGCCUAAGCAACCACUCACAUUGCUGUAAUUUUAAUAAAGUUGUGGCCAAAAUUAUGCCAAAAACCUGAAACAAAAAUUAAGUGUAAUUGUGUUUUUAUUUGGGGUGUCUUGGGGACCUCGACGUGCAAAUACGUUUUUACAGACAAAUGUUGGCAUUUACAAAUGAAUUGCUGCUAUUGCAGUAACCUCUGCAGCACACAAUUGUUUCCUGGAAAUAUCCCCAAAGUUAUAGUUCCAUGGAUGCACAUGAAAGGUAUGUGCUCACAUAUGUGUGUAUAGACAGAUGGGCAAAUCUGGUCACAAUGGCUUUAGGGAAGUUUGAUAAUGUCAAGGGCGGGUGCCAGGAGCAGGUCAGCAAUAACACGGCUUACUCUUGAUUCAAAGAAACAAGGCAGCUUAGGAGGCCAGGCCUAGAAAGCACAGCAACUCAUCCCAGUAGAACUUGCCCCUAUGAGCCAGUUGUGAGGACUGAAGAUAAACUUGGUGUCCUCCAGAGGUUGUGAACAACAAUUCCCAUCAUCUUUGACCAUUGCCCAUAUUGGUUAGCGCUGAUGGGAGUUGUCAUCCAUAGCCUCUGGAGCACACCCUGGCACAAAAUAUUUAUGAUCCUGCAUCCUUGUGGAUAUUAUCUAUGGUUUUUCCACCUCCUAUAUAGCUCAGCAUCAAUUAAAAGUUUACUACAUGGGAUAUGUAGCUUUCAUAUUUGUCUUAAGUAGAGACAAACAAUCACCCCAGUAUUUCAUUGUCUUUAUAUUAUGAGCACGAUUUGUAAGACUUUAUGUCCAAGUCAAUUAAUAUGCCUCAUCUAUAUGAGCUUUCAUCUUUAUAGUCCAAAUUACGACUAUGAGUCUUCAGCUUUAAAAGGGUCUAACAGACGUCAGGAGAACCUUGUGCCGCUUGGACAAAUUGAGGGUUAAACCUUUGUGGUUACUGUAAAGUAAGAUAGGAGACUAUUCAUUGCCGGCUAUAAAUUAGAAACACCGCUUGAGCUCAAUAUUUUCUCAUUCAUUCAGUUCCAGAUUACAGAUAUUGGAUGGUAUCCAACUCACCCAUUCUGUCGGCACAAGGCUUUUCUCUUCUGCAGUGGAACUUCCCCCAUCUCCUCCCAUGCCCUGUAAAUCUGCUCUUGAGUUUUUCACCGACCCUGUAGAGCAAAAUUGUGGAGGUUGUGGUUGUAGGGAGAGGAUGGGAGGAAUUCUGUUGGGCAAGUGGAGAUCCUUGUGCUGAUGGAACAAGUUACUUAGCCCACCUGCUCCUCUACUCCUAUGUGCAGAUCAGCAGAGGAGUGUGUGGGUGUGGGUGGGUGUAUCUUCUAUCAUCUAUAUCUAUCUGUCUGUCUAUCUAUCUAUAUCUAUCUAUCUAUCUAUCAUCUAUCUAUCUCUAUCUCAUUGUGAGACUGGGCUGGGCUACAUGUUUCUUCUGCACCUGGUUCAGUGCCACAAUGGGAUAAAAACUGCAUGCCUUCCACACUUUAGAUGAUCUGAAAUUUGCAGAGGGCAAAAUUGUUUCUCUCCAUUGCAGUGCUGGGCAGGAUGGAAAGCUUUAAAUCUUUCUGCUAGGAUGUAUGAAGUUAUCUCCUUAUCCUGUAUGUACACCGAUUAUUUCCACUUUAUCCUGUAUUGCAUAUGGAAGUAGGCUUUGGGCAGCCCUUCUCUGCUUUUCCAAUAUAUGCUAUUUUCAUGCUGUUCAUCACACUUAAUAUAUAGGUACCAUAUUUUUCGCUCUAUAAGACGCACCAGACCACAAGACGCACCUAGUUUUUGGAGGAGG
rnacentral:lncRNA from 1 species